ACCAGUUUAAGAUACAAAGUGGGCGAUCCGGGAAACAGUCUGUGUUGUCUUUGCAGCAGUCGUUUGGAUGUCCCGGAAUGACACGAUAGAUACCGAAUAGGUUGCUGGGUGGCAGCACCGGGUAGCAAUUUCAAGGUCGGCACAUGGUUGCGGUACAGAAGAACUUUUCACACCAUGACCAGCUAG